UACGUAGGGCGCAAGCGUUAUCCGGAAUUAUUGGGCGUAAAGAGCUCGUAGGCGGUCUGUCGCGUCUGCUGUGAAAACUCGGGGCUUAACCCCGGGCCUGCAGUGGGUACGGGCAGACUAGAGUGCGGUAGGGGAGACUGGAAUUCCUGGUGUAGCGGUGAAAUGCGCAGAUAUCAGGAGGAACACCGGUGGCGAAGGCGGGUCUCUGGGCAGUAACUGACGCUGAGGAGCGAAAGCGUGGGGAGCGAACAGG
rnacentral:rRNA from 1 species